rnacentral:rRNA from 1 species
GAUCAGCCACACUGGAACUGACACACGGUCCAGACUCCUACGGGAGGCAGCAGUGAGGAAUUUUGCGCAAUGGGGGAAACCCUGACGCAGCAACGCCGCGUGAGUGAUGAAGGCUUUCGGGUCGUAAAGCUCUGUCAAGUGCGAAGAACCUAUAUAAUGUUAAUAUCAUUAUAUACUGACGGUACCACUGAAGGAAGCACCGGCUAACUCCGUGCCAGCAGCCGCGGUAAUACGGGGGGUGCAAGCGUUAUUCGGAAUCAUUGGGCGUAAAGAGCACGUAGGCGGCCUGGUAAGUCAGAUGUGAUAGCCCGGGGCUUAACCCCGGAAGUGCAUUUGAUACUGUCAGGCUUGAGUAUGGGAGAGCGAAGUGGAAUUCCUGGUGUAGAGGUGAAAUUCGUAGAUAU